UGGACAGACGUGACGGGAGCUGCUGGGAUACGUAGGUGGCAUGCGUUGUCCUGGUGUAUUAGGUUUAAAGGGUGCGUAUGCGGGAAUUGAAGUCAGUGUUGAAAUACGGCAGCUUAACUGUCGAGGUGCCAUUGAUACUGGGUUACUUGAGUACUGAUGAGGUAGGCGGAAUGGACGGUGUAGCGGUGAAAUGCUUAGAUAUCGUCCAGAACACCGAUAGCGAAGGCAGCUUACUAAGGAGUAACUGACGCUGAGGCACGAAAGUGUGGGGAUCAAACAGGAUUAGAUACCCCGGUAGUC
rnacentral:rRNA from 1 species